rnacentral:rRNA from 1 species
AGUGAACGCUGGCGGUAGGCCUAACACAUGCAAGUCGAACGGCAGCACAGUAAGAGCUUGCUCUUACGGGUGGCGAGUGGCGGACGGGUGAGGAAUACAUCGGAAUCUACUUUUUCGUGGGGGAUAACGUAGGGAAACUUACGCUAAUACCGCAUACGACCUACGGGUGAAAGCAGGGGAUCUUCGGACCUUGCGCGAUUGAAUGAGCCGAUGUCGGAUUAGCUAGUUGGCGGGGUAAAGGCCCACCAAGGCGACGAUCCGUAGCUGGUCUGAGAGGAUGAUCAGCCAAACUGGAACUGAGACACGGUCCAGACUCCUACGGGAGGCAGCAGUGGGGAAUAUUGGACAAUGGGCGCAAGCCUGAUCCAGCCACACCGCGUGGGUGAAGAAGGCCUUCGGGUUGUAAAGCCCUUUUGUUGGGAAAGAAAAGCAGCAGGUUAAUACCCCGCUGUUCUGACGGUACCCAAAGAAUAAGCACCGGCUAACUUCGUG